rnacentral:rRNA from 1 species
UACGGGGGGGGGCAAGCGUUGUUCGGAAUUACUGGGCGUAAAGGGCUCGUAGGCGGCCAACUAAGUCAUACGUGAAAUCCCUCAGCUUAACUGGGGAACUGCGUGUGAUACUGGAUGGCUUGGAUUUGGGAGAGGGAUGCGGAAUUCCAGGUGUAGCGGUGAAAUGCGUAGAUAUCUGGAGGAACACCGGUGGCGAAGGCGGCAUCCUGGACCAAUACUGACGCUGAGGCGCGAAAGCGUGGGGAGCAAACAGG